rnacentral:lncRNA from 1 species
UUCAACCCACGUCUUACAUCCCUCCCCACUCCCCUACUACUUCGCCUGAAACAAAUAACAACCUCGCUCCCCAGAUUCCACCUUUGUUACAAAAUACAAAUAACCGCAAAAAGAAGGCCAGCUACGCACAGACUUACAAACCCUGGAACCCCUUCUUCUCUCUCUCUUCUCACUUCCAAAAAAAAGAUCAAUGCAAUUCUGAUAGUUGCACCGCAACAAUCGAACCCUAAUUGAACAACCAUUGCCCUCGCUUUGACGACUCCAGCAAUUCGAUUUGUUCUGUUUCACAUGACCAGUGAUGGGUAGAUGCUAUGGUGGUGGUAUGAAUGGUUUAAAAGGUGAGAGAACUCCACUGCUCAACAAAUAGGUAAGCUUAAGAAACCAUAAUUUACAAUAGCUGGGUGGUUCUGCUGCAAAACCGAGCUCCAGAACCGGCAUUCGGAUGUCGCCGGUGACCACGGCACUGGUUUGACCAGAGAAAUUUGAAACCGUCUGGAGCAGAAGAAACCAAAAUGGCUCUUUCCAAAGCCAAGGCAAGGCAUGGAAAUCGUUUCCUCAAACCCCCCUGUCCUCUUUAGGGUAAGUACAAAACAAGAUGAGGAAGAGAUCGAGGAGCAAGGACUUUGAUGUUGUAGGUGAUGACCCAAUCCAGAUGAAGGCCUUCACACAACGUGCAAAUGAAAAGUUUCAGCAUCUGCAAAAGGUUACUUCAAUACUUGGUGAUGAGGAGAUUCAAGCAGUAAUGAUCAGACUAGAUGUGUUGAUGUAAUGAGUAUUGUCAACAUCAUAUCAUAUAUUCAUAUUACCCUGAGCUUUGUUGAUUUAAUGCGUUUUAUUAUGUUUUAUUUUAUUUCUACUGGAUUCCACCUCCACAUCUGAAAUCAAAGAGAAACCUGUAACCACCAUUGCUAGGGUUUCAACUCUCAAUUCAAGCAAACACGUGUUAAUCGCUGAAGGCCUGUUGCUCCUCCAUCAUCUUCUUCGUGUACUUGAAUCUGGACCCGGAUUUGCGAAGGAAAAAACGUGUGGUGUGCUUCAUUCGUUAUCGUUCACGAAGGAAACGUGAGAGCAAUUGAAGCACGAGGUGGAAUUUCAUCAUUGUUGGAGAUUUGUGAAGCUGGAACACCUAAUUCGCAAGCUAUCGCAGCCGGUGUGCUGCGAAAUCUAGCGAGUUUCGCAGAUACUAGAAACAAUUUCAUCGAAGAAGAUGCGAUUUCGGGGUGAGAACACAAUCUGCUAAGGCGAUUUGCAGGCUUGGUUGUAACGCGAAAGCGAGAAAAGAAUUGGGGGAAUACGUGCGUUCCGCCGUUGAUAGCGACGUUGGAAGGGAAAUAAGUUGAGGAGAAACAAGCGGCUGCUAAGGCGUUAUCGACAAUCUUGGUUUGUUUAGGGAACAGGAGGAUUUACAGGAAGGAACAAAGAGGGAUAGCGAGUGCGGUCCAGCUUCAAGAUCCUACAAUACUGAAUCUGGAUAAGAAAUACCCUGUUUCGAUUUUAAUGUCGUUGACCCAUUCGAAGAAAUGCUGCAAACAGAUUGUUGAUUCGGGUGGUUUGGUGUAUUUGCAAAAGCUUGUCGAAAUGGAGGUUAAUGGUGCGAAGAAGUUGUAGGAGACCAUAAGUGAUGGGAAGCUAUGGGGUGUUUUCGCAAGAUACUUGAUCUUGCGUGAUGUUUCCCUGAGUUAAAAAGUCUAAGAAGCUGCGACUUGCUACCAUCCAGGUGGUUAUCAGUAGGCACCCAAUAUACAGGAUUCCCAUGGGAUACACUCAUCCACCAUGAAAGAUCUUGAUGCUUGCUUUCUGACAUUUCAUUCUCUACAUACGCCCAUGGAAAUUAAUGUGAUCAUCCACAUAUUGUAAGCUAUCCUAAUUGGUCUUGCUUCAUACAAGCUUAACCCGCUACUGUGGGCACACAAUGAACCACAGUUGGUGAGCGAUUUGUUGCAACUGUCUGACAACGCUACGGGUCAAUCAUCCAAAUUAUCUUUUCUUUUAUUUCCUCUAAAAAAAAUAUGAGAAGAAAGGAAUUAUGAGGUGGAAUAAUGACUUGAGGUGCAAGAAAAAUUUUGAGCAGGUGGACGCGUAUUCAUGUGUAGGCCAUACAUACAUCAGUAUACCAGGGAUUCUUAACAUAAGCUACAAAGAUUGUUUUGACAUUAUGACAUUAAACUAUCCGGCCACCGGACGGGAGAAUUUGAGAUAUUGGUAGCGGAGGCAGAUGAGGAGAGGAGGGAGCGAACGCAGUGUAUUGCAAAACAAACGAAUUUGUCAAUACGCCAGAAUGGUGGUGUGCUGGUGACGGCGGCGGCGUCAGUCUUGGUGGAUGAUGACGUAGAUUGUUUAGAGAGUGGAUUUGGGUUGUUGGGUUUAUUUGUGUUGGGUAUUGAUGAUAAUCAAAUGUAAAUAUCUGGGGUUGUUUUUUAGAAAAUGGAUUAUAAAAAAGGGUAAACGAGUCAUUUUGUAAGAAAGAGGGGAAAUAUGUAAUUAAUUUUAAAGUUUGGGUAAAUAUGUAAUUAAGGAUCUUAGAAAGGGGAUAUAUGUAAUAAUCCCUAUACAUUAUAU